rnacentral:rRNA from 1 species
UCCUCCCUCUUUCUUCGUGCUUAACACAUGCAAGUCGAACGGAAAGGCCCUGCUUUUGUGGGGUGCUCGAGUGGCGAACGGGUGAGUAACACGUGAGUAACCUGCCCUUGACUUUGGGAUAACUUCAGGAAACUGGGGCUAAUACCGGAUAGGAGCUCCUGCUGCAUGGUGGGGGUUGGAAAGUUUCGGCGGUUGGGGAUGGACUCGCGGCUUAUCAGCUUGUUGGUGGGGUAGUGGCUUACCAAGGCUUUGACGGGUAGCCGGCCUGAGAGGGUGACCGGCCACAUUGGGACUAAGAUACGGCCCAGACUCCUACGGGAGGCAGCAGUGGGGAAUAUUGCACAAUGGGCGGAAGCCUGAUGCAGCAACGCCGCGUGCGGGAUGACGGCCUUCGGGUUGUAAACCGCUUUCGCCUGUGACGAAGCGUGAGUGACGGUAAUGGGUAAAGAAGCACCGGCUAACUACGUG